UAACCUACGGGGGGCAGCAGUGAGGAAUAUUGGUCAAUGGGCGAGAGCCUGAACCAGCCAAGUCGCGUGAGGGAAGACGGUCCGAUGGAUUGUAAACCUCUUUUGCCGGGGAGCAAAAAGCGGUACGUGUACCGCAUCGAGAGUACCCGGAGAAAAAGCAUCGGCUAACUCCGUGCCAGCAGCCGCGGUAAUACGGAGGAUGCGAGCGUUAUCCGGAUUUACUGGGUGUAAAGGGCGUGUAGGCGGGCCUGCAAGUCAGAAGUGAAAUCUGGGGGCUUAACCCCCAAACUGCUUUUGAAACUGUG
rnacentral:rRNA from 1 species